CUAGAUCACCGAAGUUAAGCAACGUCGAGCCUGGUCAGUACCUUGAUGGGUGACCGCCUGGGCAUACCAUGUGCUGUAAG